UUCUUAAAAAGGCAGCUCUUAUCCCUUAAAGAAUUUACUAUUUGAUUAAAAAGAAAAAAUUCACUUCACCACUUGACGGUGCACACGUAGACUUAGAAGGUGUCCUAGGCACUGACUGGAAUUCACACUACCCUCCAUAAUUAUCACGAUACAAUCAAAAGAAAGCCUUGCAAGGAGGCCAAGCUCAAGGUAAGCCUGGAUAACAGGCAGGAUUUCUAAAGGAGGAUGUUUGCUAAUAAAGUGGACCUUUUGAAGAACAGAAAAAACAGCAAAGACUGUUCCUGUAAGAGAAACCAGAAAGGGGAGAUGAGGAUAUGAAAACAAAUAAAAAACUUAAGAAUGCCAAACAAGACCCAUGAACUUUUUAAGUCAACAACAGACUUAAGAAGAUCAUGAGGAAGGGGAAUGAAUUUCAGAGGACUGUUCAGUGCAUCCCGAGAGAUCAGACAACAAAAAGAGAGAGGCGAGAAUGCGGCCACAAGCCCGACAGCAGUGGAGCAGCAGCAGCAGCCGCCGCAAGGAAGCGAGAGAAAGGAGGAAAACCCAGCAGGAUCCGAGUAUCAAUCAGACAUGCCGGAAUAGGCACACAAAGGAACUUCGUUGUUUCUAAUUAGAACAAUUUAUCACUGCAGCGGCGCUGGCUCUGGAAAGAAGACAUUUUAUAAAAGAUGCCGUUGGAUAGGUCAGAUUCAGCCAACACAACCCGCUGCAACGUGUCUGGACCUGCCCUUACAGCUAGCGCGGCCCAGAGCCGGUGGCCUGGCUGGUAACAGGGUGACCUUUAUCGGGGCUUCGCCUGGGAAGGGGGAAACAGAGUCGGGAGGGCACCCAGUGAUCAAAAAUAACUUCAAUUUUCUCACAGACUCUCGCCAGUUCAGGCUGACAAACUUACGAGGGGAAACUGACAACAGAAGAUGUUGGAACCAAAAUCAAAGGAUGGCGCAGUUACGUAAUGAGAAACCUUCGUAAUUCAUGAAUUCUACUGACUGACUUAGCGAGAGGACCAUUAAAUUACCUACUCUCAAGGAACUGAGCAUAGUCCCUUGCUCUCAAAUUUGUUUAUGAAGGUAAUAAACAAAGAUCAGUUCCUCAUUCUGUCACUGUAAUCUCAUUCACAGACCCCGAGCGCUGCGGGCAGGGACAGUGCGCACAUGCUGUGUGCAGCAGGUACACGGAGCCCAGUGGAUCAAAGCCACCGGCAGGUGCUGAGUGUCGGACAGCACCUGUUCAUUAACAUUUACCCCAAAGAAGGGAUGUGAAAAGGAAUGGUAACAAGCAGAUGGAACAAGUUGGGUUGAUAGAAAAGUUUCAUCGUCUACAAAUGACAAUCCUUAUAAUGAGGGUUAUUAAGAGGAUUGCACACACUCACAGACGAGAAGAUGCUCGGAACAGAUGGGGAACACAGAAAGCAGUAAGUAUUACUCUUCUUUGUUUAUAUGGUUGAUACAAAUUUCCUCAUACAUAACCAACUUUCAGCACGCUUUCAAAUGCCUGCUUAGGCAUCCAAACU